AAAACUAGCNAGUUCNCNUACCCNACUGUUCGNCCGGNAACUACGAGUNUCAGCUUAAAACCCAAAGGACUUGGCGGUGCUUUACAUCCAUCUAGAGGAGCCUGUUCUAGAACCGAUAAUCCCCGUUCAACCUCACCCUUCCUUGUUCUUUCANCCUAUAUACCGCCGUCGUCAGUUUACCCCGCUAAGGGCCCAGUAGUAAGCAAAAUCGGNACAGCCCAAAACGUCAGGUCGAGGUGUAGCCCAUGGAAGGGGAAGAAAUGGGCUNCAUUCCCUACUACAGGGUAUACGAAUGAUUUCGCUGAAAUGCNUUUCUGAAGGAGGAUUUNGUAGUAAGCAGGAA
rnacentral:rRNA from 1 species